rnacentral:rRNA from 1 species
ACGGGAGGCAGCGGCUAAGAAUAUUCCGCAAUGGACGAAAGUCUGGCGGAGCGACGCCGCGUGGAUGAUGAAGGCCGGAAGGUUGUAAAAUCCUUUUAUAACUGAGGAAUAAGUAAGGUGGGAGAAACGCCUUAUGGUGACUGUAGGUUAUGAAUAAGCAACGGCUAAUUACGUGCCAGCAGCCGCGGUAACACGUAAGUUGCGAGCGUUGUUCGGAAUUAUUGGGCGUAAAGGGCAUGUAGGCGGUUUUGCAAGCUUGGUGUGAAAUCCCGGGGCUUAACUCCGGAAUUGCGUUGAGAACUGCAUAACUAGAGUCACUGAGGGGCAAGCAGAAUUCCUGGUGUAGGGGUGAAACCUGUAGAUAUCAGGAAGAAUACCAGUGGCGAAGGCAGGUUACCAGCAGAUGACUGACGCUGAGGCGCGAAGGUGCGGGGAGCAAACAGGAUUAGAUACCCUGGUA